rnacentral:rRNA from 1 species
UACGUAGGGCGCAAGCGUUAUCCGGAAUUAUUGGGCGUAAAGAGCGUGUAGGCGGCCGCACAGGUCCGUUGUGAAAACUGGAGGCUUAACCUUCAGACGUCGAUGGAAACCGUGCGGCUAGAGUCCGGAAGAGGAGAAUGGAAUUCCUGGUGUAGCGGUGAAAUGCGCAGAUAUCAGGAAGAACACCCGUGGCUAAGGCGGUUCUCUAGUACGGUACUGACGCUGAGACGCGAAAGCGUGGGGAGCGAACAGG